UUAUCACUUGUUUACUCUUUGUCUUAUUCCCCCUCCCAAGAUGUCAUAGAGCAGGGGCUGUGAACUGGAACUUCAGCUGUUUCCUAUCAGGGUGGUCAUUUUGUUCAGCUACACCAACAUGUAACAACUGAGGAUGUCCCUGGGAAGAGAAAGGCACACCCAGAGGUGCAGGCUUAGCCAGAUGUGCAGUUCUGACAGAAGCCAAACACCUGAAUAUCCCAGGCAUUCAAUAUUUAAGAGCAUUUCUGAUGUGAACAGUGGGAUCCUGUGAUCCAGUUGAGACCAGCUCCACAGCCCUGGGGAGACAGGUCAGUCCCACUGGAAGUGACUGGCUUGCCCACUGAACACCUCUAAGCUGCUAAAAUAUUGUGGUCCUGAGAAAUGCU